rnacentral:rRNA from 1 species
CCCUCCUCUCGCCAGCUCUCCGAUCACCAGACUUGCCCUCCAAUGGAUAUCAUUGGAGGGCAAGUCUGGUGCCAGCAGCCGCGGUAAUUCCAGCUCCAAAAGCGUAUAUUAAAGUUGUUGCAGUUAAAAAGCUCGUAGUUGAACCUUGGGCUUGGCUGGCCGGUCCAUCUUUUUUGAUGCGUACUGGACCCAGCCGAGCCUUUCCUUCUGGCUAGCCUUUUUGGCGAACCAGGACUUUUACUUUGAAAAAAUUAGAGUGUUCAAAGCAGGCCUUUGCUCGAAUAUAUUAGCAUGGAAUAAUAGAAUAGGACGUUAUGGUUCUAUUUUGUUGGUUUCUAGGACCAUCGUAAUGAUUAAUAGGGACGGUCGGGGGUAUCAGUAUUCAGUAGUCAGAGGUGAAAUUCUUGGAUUUACUGAAGACUAACUACUGCGAAAGCAUUUACCAAGGACGUUUUCAUUAAUCAAGAACGAAAGUUAGGGGAUCGAAGAUGAUCUAGAUACCGUCGAAAAAACUGGUG